rnacentral:rRNA from 1 species
GGCUUCCUACGGGAGGCAGCAGUGAGGAAUAUGCACAAUGGGCGCAAGCCUGAUGCGGCGACGCCGCGUGUGGGAUGAAGGGGCUACGCCUCGUAAACCACUGUAGCCCGGGACGAAAAACGCCUUAGAGGUGUUAGACGGUACCGGGAAAGUAAGGGUCGGCUAACUACGUGCCAGCAGCCGCGGUAAUACGUAGGACCCAAGCGUUGUCCGGAUUUACUGGGUGUAAAGGGUGCGCAGGCGGAUGGGUAAGUCAGAGGUGAAAGUCUGCAGCUUAACUGUAGAAUUGCCUUUGAUACUGCUCAUCUUGAGUUUGGGAGAGGUUGAUGGAAUUCCAGGUGUAGCAGUGAAAUGCGUAGAUAUCUGGAAGAACACCAGUGGCGAAGGCGGUCAACUGGCCCAUAACUGACGCUCAUGCACGAAAGCGUGGGGAGCAAACAGGAUUAGAUAUCCUGGUAGUCCACGCCCUAAACGAUGUAUGCUUGGUGUUGGGAAGCAAUUCUCAGCGCCGAAGGAAACCCAUUAAGCAUACCACCUGGGGAGUACGAUCGCAAGGUUGC